CCCUUAGAUGUCCUGGGCCGCACGCGCGUUACACUGAUGCACUCAACGAGCAUAUAACCUUGGCCGAGAGGCCUGGGUAAUCUUGUUAACAUGCAUCGUGAUAGGGAUCGAUUAUUGCAAUUUUUAAUCGUGAACGAGGAAUUCCUAGUAAACGCAGAUCAUCAAUCUGCAUUGAUUACGUCCCUGCCCUUUGUACACACCGCCCGUCGCACCUACCGAUUGAAUGGUCCGGUGAAGACUCGGGAUUGUGGCUUGGCUCCUUUAUUGGGGCUUGGCCGCGAGAACUUGUCUGAACCUUAUCAUUUAGAGGAAGGUGAAGUCGUAACA
rnacentral:rRNA from 1 species